rnacentral:rRNA from 1 species
UACAGAGGGUGCGAACGUUGUUCGGAAUUACUGGGCUUGAAGCGCGCGUAGGCGGCCCCGCAAGUGCGGUGUGAAAUCCCACGGCUUACCCGUGGAACCGCGCCGUGUACUACGGGGCUAGAGGAUGGUAGAGGAGGGCGGAACUCUUGGUGGAGCGGUGAAAUGCGUAGAGAUCAAGAGGAACACCGGUGGCGAAGGCGGCCCUCUGGUCCAUUACUGACGCUGAGGCGCGAAAGCUAGGGGAGCGAACAGG